ensembl:lncRNA
AUACAGCGCCGCCCCUCCCACCACGCGCAUCACGCGCCGUGCGUCAACCCAUUCUCACUCCCAAAGCGUCAAAAACUGAAGCGUGGUCAAGCGCCUCUAGCGUCACUGACAUGAGAUGUUUAUCGCUUUGAAAUCACGUUCAAGAAGUCUCAUUCAGCACACAUCGCGAUACUUGCCAUCAGUUUACAAGAGCCGCAGGUUGGGUGAGUUAUACAGUCUAUGCUGAAAAGACAUAAAGGAAGCAGUCACCCCAGUGGUGUUUGUGGAGAGGUAUUCCUUCAGAAAUGGAGAAGACAGAAAGCUGCAGAGGCAGGAUUGUUUGCACAUAACACUGUAGAUCUCCGUCAUGCACAAGGACUCACCUAUUUAACUCUUUAUCCCCCCCGCCACACACACACAGAAAUGGUUCCUGGAUCAGUGACUUAAGACUUUGCAGUGAUUUGAU